GAUGAACGCUGGCGGCGUGCCUAAUACAUGCAAGUCGAGCGAACAGAUGAGGAGCUUGCUCCUCUGACGUUAGCGGCGGACGGGUGAGUAACACGUGGAUAACCUACCUAUAAGACUGGGAUAACUUUGGGAAACCGGAGCUAAUACCGGAUAAUAUAUUGAACCGCAUGGUUCAAUAGUGAAAGACGGUUUUGCUGUCACUAAUAGAUGAAUCCGCGCCGCAUUAGCUAGUUGGUAAGGUAACGGCUUACCAAGGCAACGAUGCGUAGCCGACCUGAGAGGGUGAUCGGCCACACUGGAACUGAGACACGGUCCAGACUCCUACGGGAGGCAGCAGUAGGGAAUCUUCCGCAAUGGGCGAAAGCCUGACGGAGCAACGCCGCGUGAGUGAUGAAGGUCUUCGGAUCGUAAAACUCUGUUAUUAGGGAAGAACAAAUGUGUAAGUAACUAUGCACGUCUUGACGGUACCUAAUCAGAAAGCCACGGCUAACUACGUG
rnacentral:rRNA from 1 species